UACGUAGGGUGCAAGCGUUAAUCGGAAUUACUGGGCGUAAAGCGUGCGCAGGCGGUUUUGUAAGUUUGUCGUGAAAGCCCCGGGCUCAACCUGGGAAUUGCGAUGAAGACUGCAAGGCUUGAAUCUGGCAGAGGGGGGUAGAAUUCCACGUGUAGUAGUGAAAUGCGUAGAGAUGUGGAGGAACACCGAUGGCGAAGGCAGCCCCCUGGGUCAAGAUUGACGCUCAUGCACGAAAGCGUGGGGAGCAAACAGG
rnacentral:rRNA from 1 species